GACGAACGCUGGCGGCGUGCUUAACACAUGCAAGUCGAGGGCAUUUGGGUCGCAAGGCUCAGGUGACCGGCGAACGGGUGCGUAACACGUGAGCGACCUGCCGUCCCUGUGGGGGAUAGCCGGCCCAACGGCCGGGUAAUACCGCAUACGAUCGUUUGGGGGCGAUCCCUGGGCGACGAAAGCUUGGCGCAAGUCAGGCGCAGGACGAGGGGCUCGCGGCCUAUCAGCUCGUUGGCGGGGAACGGCCCACCAAGGCGACGACGGGUAGCUGGUCUGAGAGGAUGGCCAGCCACAUUGGGACUGAGAGACGGCCCAGACUCCUACGGGAGGCAGCAGUGGGGAAUCUUGCGCAAUGGCCGCAAGGCUGACGCAGCGACGCCGCGUGUGGGAGGACG
rnacentral:rRNA from 1 species